ACCUACGGGGCGCAGCAGUCGGGAAUAUUGCGCAAUGGAGGAAACUCUGACGCAGUGACGCCGCGUAUGGGAAGAAGGUUUUCGGAUUGUAAACCAUUGUCGUUAGGGAAGAAGAAGUGACAGUACCUAAGGAGGAAGCUCCGGCUAACUAUGUGCCAGCAGCCGCGGUAAUACAUAGGGGGCAAGCGUUAUCCGGAUUCACUGGGCGUAAAGGGAGCGCAGGCGGCACGGCAAGUCUGAUGUGAAAACCCGGGGCUCAACCCCGGGACUGCAUUGGAAACUGCCGGGCUGGAGUGUCGGAAGGG
rnacentral:rRNA from 1 species